rnacentral:rRNA from 1 species
AGAGCGAACGCUGGCGGCAGGCUUAACACAUGCAAGUCGAGCGGGCGUAGCAAUACGUCAGCGGCAGACGGGUGAGUAACGCGUGGGAACGUACCUUUUGGUUCGGAACAACCCAGGGAAACUUGGGCUAAUACCGGAUAAGCCCUUACGGGGAAAGAUUUAUCGCCGAAAGAUCGGCCCGCGUCUGAUUAGCUAGUUGGUGGGGUAAUGGCCCACCAAGGCGACGAUCAGUAGCUGGUCUGAGAGGAUGAUCAGCCACAUUGGGACUGAGACACGGCCCAAACUCCUACGGGAGGCAGCAGUGGGGAAUAUUGGACAAUGGGCGCAAGCCUAAUCCAGCCAUGCCGCGUGAGUGAUGAAGGCCCUAGGGUUGUAAAGCUCUUUUGUGCGGGAAGAUAAUGACGGUACCGCAAGAAUAAGCCCCGGCUAACUUCGCGCCAGCAGCCGC